GGUGGCGUAGCUCAGAUGGUAGAGUGCUCGCUUAGUAUGCAAGAGGUACAGGGAACGAUACCCCACGCCUCCA